UGCUAUCUCUUUUAGAAAUCCCAAGAGAACAUAUGCCUUAGCAGAAAAUGGAUGAAUGGGUACCCUCUAGAGGCAGAGUUCAGUUGGGGAAAAGUCCAAGAUUUGGAGAACAGGUAUCAGUGAACAUUAACAAUGCUGCUGUGUGGAGAAGAGAGUUGGGAUUACUCAAGGCUUACAUAAAUGCAUACAUUCUGCAAUAUCAUCCCAGUGUCAGCUAGAGGAGCACAGCUUCAUCCUGGAGAAGUACCUGGAACAAGCACUGCAAUGCAUAUGAUUCAGCAGCUGCAGUUUUCUCACCUGCAGAUACACUGGACCAUCUUUCAUUGAUAACAUGAAUGUGAUUCAGAGAUCUGGGAAUUCUCCAGCUGCGUUUGCUGCUGUGAAGAGCUAGACAUUUCUUGUCAGGGCUUGCCCCAAACACAGAGCUGCCUGUCUGCCACAACCCUGUUUACAAUGAAGGUGAUGCAAAGAAAUGGUGGUGACUGGGGUGAUGACCCUUAUGAAAACUGGAGCAUUGGACAACUCUACAUAGGAUGCUGUUCCUCUGACUAUUUAAAAAUUCAAAAGAUCUAUUCAAAAGAUGUGUUUAGCAGUGAGUCCAGGGUUGCCCUCACAACAGAAGACUUCAAGAAGCUGGAGCAUCAGUUCAGACAAAGUCUGCUUCUGUGACAUCUGUUGCAGGAGUGAAACAAUGACUUCCAUCCAUUAUUUCCAACCAUCUGGGCUUCAAGUAGAUGGAUGCCCACCUUGUGCCAUUUUGCAUCUGAGUUUUGAAGAUACCAGGGACGCUGCUCCUAUGAACUUCACUGACAGCUGAAAGAACUCAACAAUCCAUCUUAGGGGAAAGUAUCAAGUCAACAGCAUUCCUAUUUUGGCUCCACUGGGAUAUUGAACAGAACGGCAACU